rnacentral:misc_RNA from 1 species
CUGCCCUCAAGCACGGCUUGUGUGUUGGGCCCCGUCCCCUCCCCCGGGGACGGGCCCGAAAGGCAGCGGCGGCACCGCGUCCGAUCCUCGAGCGUAUGGGGCUUUGUCACCCGCUCUGUAGGCCCGGCCGGCGCCAGCCGACACCCAACUUUUAUUUCUAA